rnacentral:rRNA from 1 species
UACGGAGGGUGCAAGCGUUAUCCGGAUUCACUGGGUUUAAAGGGUGUGUAGGCGGGCUGUUAAGUCAGUGGUGAAAUCUCCGGGCUCAACCCGGAAACUGCCAUUGAUACUAUCAGUCUUGAAUAUCGUUGAGGCAGGCGGAAUAUAUCGAUGUAGCGGUGAAAUGCAUAGAUAUGAUAUUAGAACACCCAAUUGCGAAGGCAGCUUGCUAAACGAUCAUUGACGCUGAGGCACGAAAGCCAGGGGAGCGAACGGGG